GAUGAACGCUGGCGGCGUGCCUAAUACAUGCAAGUCGAGCGAACAGACGAGGAGCUUGCUCCUUCGACGUUAGCGGCGGACGGGUGAGUAACACGUAGGUAACCUACCUAUAAGACUGGGAUAACUUCGGGAAACCGGAGCUAAUACCGGAUAAUAUUUCGAACCGCAUGGUUCGAUAGUGAAAGAUGGCUUUGCUAUCACUUAUAGAUGGACCUGCGCCGUAUUAGCUAGUUGGUAAGGAAACGGCUUACCAAGGCAACGAUACGUAGCCGACCUGAGAGGGUGAUCGGCCACACUGGAACUGAGACACGGUCCAGACUCCUACGGAGGCAGCAGUAGGGAAUCUUCCGCAAUGGGCGAAAGCCUGACGGAGCAACGCCGCGUGAGUGAUGAAGGUCUUCGGAUCGUAAAACUCCGUUAUUAGGGAAGAACAAACGUGUAAGUAACUGUGCACGUCUUGACGGUACCUAAUCAGAAAGCCACGGCUAACUACGUG
rnacentral:rRNA from 1 species